ACUGCUAAGAAACAGUAAUCACACUCUGACUUACUAUAAACGGUUUAUGCAAAAAUGUGCUUAUCAUCACUGAAUAGUUUUGUACAAAGAGGUUUCCCAGUAUAAGUACCUUUCAUAAUAUGUCUAAUAUAACUUCCUCAUAAACUUUUAAAAGUUCCAACCAUAUAAACGCUGGGAGACAUUAUUUCAAAAUUAAAGAAGAACAAUUUUUAAUUAAAAUAGACCAAUUAAAAGAAAUGUUUUGGAAAGGUACAUUGUUUUAAUUUCAUUACAUGCUUGAAACCCAUUUUCCAGUCCUUCAAUGUUGAUUGACUUGGCUAGAUAAAAAUUCAUUAAGGUAGACCUAAGCGAAUGUAGAGAUUUAUGGAGAAAUUAGAUAGUGCUUUC